rnacentral:misc_RNA from 1 species
UGGACUUCAAUGUCUACAUAGCAGAAGGGACAUAGAAAGUAAGCUCUCGCAUCCUCAUCCCCGUCUGAAUCAUCAAUUACCAAAUGAUUAUCGGAGUCGUAUCUGGCAGCUUGCACAGCAGAGAGAUGCUUAGCGGCGCGAACUCUCGAGGGCCAGAAAUCAACAUCCAUAUUGAGUCAGCUUCCCAAUAAACUGCGUCUAACUCAGCGGUUCCCGGCUAGAAACGUCUGAUUCCGGCGAGACAGUGU